rnacentral:rRNA from 1 species
GCAGAGCACUCCUACGGGAGGCAGCAGUGGGGAAUAUUGGACAAUGGGGGAAACCCUGAUCCAGCAAUGCCGCGUGAACGAUGAAGGCCUUCGGGUUGUAAAGUUCUUUUACCUGUGAAGAUGAUGACGGUAGCAGGAGAAAAAGCCCUGGCUAACUCUGUGCCAGCAGCCGCGGUAAUACAGAGAGGGCUAGCGUUGUUCGGAAUGACUGGGCGUAAAGGGUGCGUAGGCGGUCUUUUAAGUGAGGUGUUAAAUCCCCGGGCUUAACCCGGGUUCUGCGCUUCAAACUGGAAGACUCGAGUGUGGUAGAGGAAAGUGGAAUUCCUAGUGUAGAGGUGAAAUUCAUAGAUAUUAGGAGGAACACCAGAGGCGAAGGCGGCUUUCUGGGCCACCACUGACGCUGAGGCACGAAAGCGUGGGGAGCAAACAGGAUUAGAUACCCUGGUAG